ACGACCUCAGAUCAGACGAGACAACCCGCUGAAUUUAAGCAUAUUACUAAGCGGAGGAAAAGAAACUAACAAGGAUUCCCUCAGUAGCGGCGAGCGAAGAGGGAAGAGCCCAGCGCCGAAACCCCGUCCGUCCGGCGGAAAUGUGGCGUAUAGAAGACCGCUUUGCCCGGUGUCGAUCGGGGGCCUGAGUCCUUCUGAUCGAGGCUCAGCCCUACGGUGUGCGGCCGGUAACGGCCCCCGUCCGCGCUGGGACCGGUCUUCUCGGAGUCGGGUUGUUUGGGAAUGCAGCCCAAAGUGGGUGGUAAACUCCCAUCUAAGGCUAAAUACCCGCCACGAAGACCGAUAGUCGACAAGUACCGUAAGGGAAAGGUUGAAAAGAACUUUGAAAAGAGAGUGUUCAAGAGGGCGUGAAACCGGUGGAGAGGUAAACGGGUGGGGUCCGCGCAGUCUGCCCGGAGGAUUCAACCCGGCGGGUCAAGGCCGGGCGGUUCGGUGGGGGGCGGAUCUCGGGGGGCCGCCCCCCGGGCGGGCUCCGGCCCCCGCCGGGCGCGGGCGCGGCCCCCGCCGGGCGCAUUUCCUCCGUCGGUGGUGCGCCGCGACCGGCUCUGGGUCGGCUUGGAAGGGCGGGGGGCGAAGGUGGCUACCGGUUUCGGCCGUGAGCUUUACAGCGCCCACUGCUCCGUCCUCGCCGCUUCCGGGGGCGAGGACUUAGUAACCGCGCUGCGUCAUGCCCCCCUCCGGGGGGGCACGGGGCCCCCUACCCCCGGCGCGACUGUCCAACCGGGUCAGACUGUCCUCAGUGCGCACCCAACCGCGUUGCGUCGCAGGGCGGGGAUCGGCUCACGUUAAACUGGCGCAAGGGGUCAGCGGCGAUGUCGGCAACCCACCCGACCCGUCUUGUAACACGGACCAAGGAGUCUAACGCGCGCGCAAGUCAGAGGUUUUCUCCGAACACACCCCGUGGCGCAAUGAAAGUGAGAGCCGGCGCGCGCCGGCUGAGGUGGGAUCCCGGCCCCUCGGGGCCGGGCGCACCACCGGCCGUCUCGCCCGCUCUGUCGGGGAGGUGGAGCGUGAGGGGCGUGCGAUAGGACCCGAAAGAUGGUGAACUAUGCCUUGGCCAGGGCGAAGCCAGAGGAAACUCUGGUUGGAGGUCCGUAGCGGUCCUGACGUGCAAUCGGUCGUCCGACCUGGGUGUAGAGUGCGAAAGACUUAUCGAACCAUCUAGUAGCUGGUUCCCUCCGAAGGUUUCCUCAGGAUAGCUGGCGCUCGAGUCUCGCAGUUUUAUCCGGGUAAAGCGAAUGAUUAUAGGGGUCUUGUGGGGCCGAAACGAUCUCAACCUACUCUCAAAUUUUAAAUGGGUAAGAAGCCCGGCUCGCUGGUCUUUAAAUGGGUAAGAAGCCCGGCUCGCUGGCUUGGAAGCGGGGGGGGAAUGCGAGCCGCCUAGUGGGCCACUUUUUGUAAGCACAAAACUGGGGCGCUGCGGGAUGAACCGAACGCCGGGUUAAGGCGGCCCGAUGCCGACGCUCAUCAGCCCCAGGAAAAGGUGUUGGUCGAUAUAGACAGCAGGACCGGUGGCCAUGGAAGUCGGGAAUCCGCUAAGGAGUGUGUAACAACUCCCCUGCCGAAUCAACUAGCCCUGAAAAUGGAUGGCGCUGGAGCGUCGGGCCCAUACCCGGCCGGCGCCGGGCCACGAGAGCCUCGAGGGCUACGCCGCGACGAGUAGGAGGGCUGCCGCGGUGAGCACGGAAGCCUAGGGCGUGGGCCCGGGUGGAGCCGCCGCGGGUGCAGAUCUUGGUGGUAGUAGCAAAUAUUCAAACGAGAACCUUUGAAGGCCGUAGUGGAGAAGGGUUCCAUGUGAACAGCAGUUGAACAUGGGUCAGUCGGUCCUAAGAGAGGGCGAACGCUGUUCGGAAGGGGGGGGCGAUGCCCCCCGUCGCCCCCGGCCGAUCGAAGGAGUCGGGUUCAGAUUCCCCGAAUCCGGAGUGGCGGAGACUGGCGCCGCGGGCGUCCAGUGCGGUAACGCAACCGAUCCCGGAGAAGCUGGCGGGACCCCGGGGAGGUUCUCUUUUCUUUGUGAAGGGCAGGGCGACCCUGGAAGGGUUCCCCCGCGAGAGAGGGGCCCAAGCCCUGGGAAAGCGUCUCGCCGUUUCCGGCGGCGUCCGGUGAGCUCUCGCUGGCCCUUGAAAAUCCGGGGGAGAUUGUUGUAAAUCUCGCGCCGGGCCGUACCCUAUUCGCAGCAGGUCUCCAAGGUGAACAGCCUCUUGGCAUGGUAAGAACAAGGUAGGUAAGGGAAGUCCGGCAAGUCAGAUCCGUAACUUCGGGAUAAGGAUUGGCGCUCUAAGGGCUGGGUCGGUCGGUCGGGGGUGCGAGGGGGGGCGGGCCGCGAGCCGCGGCUGGGGGAGCAGUCGCUCCGCCGCCCUCCUCACGCCACCGUUGGAAGUUCGCCGCGUGACCCGUCUCGCGGGCUCUCGUGCGCGGUCUCGCCAGGGGCUUCGUGCGGUAGUUCGUUGGGGCGGGGUCCUUCGGCGGCCCUAAGACGGACCGGCGGGAGGUUGGGUCCGGCGGGUGGGGGCGGGGACUCUGGGCGCGCGCCGGGCCCUUCUCGCGGAUCUCCCCAGCUACGGCGCUCGUCGGCCCCGUUCGCGCGGGGUCUCCGGCGGGUCGCCUCGGCCGCGCCCCGCGCUGACUUUGAAAUGGGGGGGGCCAGGGGAAUCCGACUGUUUAAUUAAAACAAAGCAUCGCGAAGGCCCGGGGUGGGUGUUGACGCGAUGUGAUUUCUGGCCAAGUGCUCUGAAUAUCUCAAAGUGAGAAAUUCAAUGGAGGCGCGGGUAAACGGCGGGAGUUAACCAUUACUCUCUUAAGGUAGCCAAAUGCCUCGUCAUCUAAUUAGUGACGCGCAUGAAUGGAUGAACGAGUUUCCACUGUCCCUACCUANNNNNNNNGGAGGCCUCGGCCGAAGUGAAAUACCUCCGAAAUACCACUACUCUUAUCGUUUUUUCACACCAGGUGGGGGGGGGAGGCGAGCCCCGAGCGGGCUCUCGUUUCUGGCGUAAACCCCCGGGCGGGAGCGGGGUGCGACCCGCUCCGGGGACAGUGGCAGGUGG
rnacentral:rRNA from 1 species